CUCAUACUUAUAAAUGUAUAUGAAUUUUUAUUAAUAAAAGUUAUUUGAUUUUUUUAUCAUAUUUUCUCCAUCUUAUUUUGAACUCCUGUGAUUGUGAUGAAGUCCUUAGGACUAUAAUUAAUCGACAAAGGAGGAUUUGUCAUUAAGUCCUUAAAAGUGUUUGCGACCGAAUGAUAUGCUAUUAAUAGGACAAUAGCAAUAUUGAGGAUAGGUCGUUGCAUGCCAUAUGAGUUGGUUAUCCUCUUAAUCAAACACUUUUAAGGACUGGUAUGGCAUACAGAUGAAAUGUAGGAGUAUAUUCACAUCGAACAUGACCAUUUGCCGAGGACUCUGCUGUCAAGAGUAGCUCAUGAAGGGUAUGGGUAUAAGUGUCCCUC
rnacentral:lncRNA from 1 species